rnacentral:misc_RNA from 1 species
AACGCACCUUGCACUCACUGGUAUUCCGGUGAGUACGCCUGUUUCAGUAUCAUUGAAAACCCACAACCAUUCAUUUUUGUUUUGGUUGGACUUGGGCUAUUAGUUUGGAUUCGUUUUUGGCAUUCGUGCUAAGAAAAGAGCCAAGCAGCCUGGAAUAUACUGUUGGUCAAUUGUAUCGUGGUAAUCAAUAUACAAGACCUUGGCUUUAUAAACGAACUGGGAUUUGAUUUGACCAGUUUUAGCCUUUGUCAUUGGGAUUACAGUAAAUCGAUCUUGGCUUAGAGAUUAGUUAGCCGUUUUCGGCUUUCUAGUCAAACUAAAUCAUAUCUUUCAGUAUCGAUCUGAAAUCAGGUGGGACUACCCGCUGAACUUAA